UACGUAGGGUGCAAGCGUUAAUCGGAAUUACUGGGCGUAAAGCGUGCGCAGGCGGUUUUGUAAGUCUGUCGUGAAAUCCCCGGGCUCAACCUGGGAAUUGCGAUGGAGACUGCAAGGCUAGAAUCUGGCAGAGGGGGGUAGAAUUCCACGUGUAGCAGUGAAAUGCGUAGAGAUGUGGAGGAACACCGAUGGCGAAGGCAGCCCCCUGGGUCAAGAUUGACGCUCAUGCACGAAAGCGUGGGGACAA
rnacentral:rRNA from 1 species